GAGUUUGAUCCUGGCUCAGAACGAACGCUGGCGGCGUGCUUAACACAUGCAAGUCGAACGUGAUUCAGAGCUUGCUCUGAUGAAAGUGGCGCACGGGUGAGUAACGCGUGGAUAACCUGCCCUGAUAUCUGGGAUAACAUCUCGAAAGGGGUGCUAAUACCGGAUAAGCCUCCGGGAUCUUCGGAUUCUGCAGGAAAAGAGGGCCUCUAUUUAUAAGCUUUCGUAUCAGGAUGGGUCCGCGUACCAUUAGCUAGUUGGUGGGGUAAUGGCCUACCAAGGCGACGAUGGUUAGCUGGUCUGAGAGGAUGAUCAGCCACACUGGAACUGAGACACGGUCCAGACUCCUACGGGAGGCAGCAGUGGGGAAUUUUGCGCAAUGGGGGAAACCCUGACGCAGCAACGCCGCGUGAGUGAUGAAGGCUUUCGGGUCGUAAAGCUCUGUCAGAGGGGAAGAAAUGGAACUGGCUAAUAUCCAGUUUUCUUGACGGUACCCUCAAAGGAAGCACCGGCUAACUCCGUGCCAGCAGCCGCGGUAAUAC
rnacentral:rRNA from 1 species